GCCGUCUCAAAACGAGGAUGGAGAAAGCCACUCUAUGUGUUUUAUCGUACAGGCAAUUUUCAAUUCAGACAAGUAUCACUCAGAGCUUCGAUGUGUCAUUGUGACUGUUGGAAGUCAACCAACAGCCCCAACUAUGCUGGCUACAACAAAUGCACAAAGCACAACCACCAUUCCUACUAUAACUACCCCGCAAACUACAACAACCGACCCAGUCGCGCAAACUACAACC